rnacentral:snRNA from 1 species
GGAUGUGAGCACAAUUUAGCUGUGACAUCUAUCACCUCAUUGAUUGCCAGGGUUAAUUUGGCUAAUCUCCCUGGUUAGGUGGUGUGCCUUCCCUUCUCACCACUCCAUGUGUAUCCUUCCCAAAGCUUUGUGCUUGGUCAAAGAGCACAACCUCCAACAGAAGACUGUCUUUUAAUCAAGGAUACUUGAAUAAAUGCACUCCUUUGCUAGGAUCUCCAAACAAGCUCUCAAAAAACAGCAGGAAGCCCCCACCCUCCACACCCUUGUGGGAGCCAACCUGAACCCUCCCACAG